UAGGGAAUCUUCGGCAAUGGGGGCAACCCUGACCGAGCAACGCCGCGUGAGUGAAGAAGGUUUUCGGAUCGUAAAGCUCUGUUGUAAGUCAAGAACGGGUGUGAGAGUGGAAAGUUCACACUGUGACGGUAGCUUACCAGAAAGGGACGGCUAACUGCGUGCCAGCAGCCGCGGUAAUACGUAGGUCCCGAGCGUUGUCCGGAUUUAUUGGGCGUAAAGCGAGCGCAGGCGGUUUGAUAAGUCUGAAGUUAAAGGCUGUGGCUCAACCAUAGUUCGCUUUGGAAACUGUCAAACUUGAGUGCAGAAGGGGAGAGUGGAAUUCCAUGUGUAGCGGUGAAAUGCGUAGAUAUAUGGAGGAACACCGGUGGCGAAAGCGGCUCUCUGGUCUGUAACUGACGCUGAGGCUCGAAAGCGUGGGGAGCGAACAGGAUUAGAUACCCUGGUAGUCCACGCCGUAAACGAUGAGUGCUAGGUGUUGGAUCCUUUCCGGGAUUCAGUGCCGCAGCUAACGCAUUAAGCACUCCGCCUGGGGAGUACGACCGCAAGGUUGAAAC
rnacentral:rRNA from 1 species